rnacentral:rRNA from 1 species
AUACCAAUACUUUGAAUUUAUAUUUAAAUAGUGUAAAAUAAAGUAAUAAAAUUAAUAUUAUUAUUAGAAUUAAUGAGUAUAUAGAUUGUAGGUAAAAUUUAAUCUGUAUAAUUAAUUAUACUGUUCUAAAUUAAUAGGUUCUUUGAAAAUAAGGUUUAAGUAGACUAGGAUUAGAGACCCUAUUAUUCUUUAUUUUAAAAAUUUUAUUAUUUAAGUAGUAAGAGUUAUUAGCAAAUAUUUUAUUUAAUUUAAUUUUGUACUUGAAACUUAAAAGGCUUGGCGGUGUCAUAUAUCCUUCCAGGGGAGCUUGCUUAUUAAUUUGAUAUUCCUCAAUUUAUACUUACUUUCUUUUGAAUUAUAAAAAAUUGUCAGUUUGUGUAUUGCUGUCGUCAGUUUAUUUUGUAAAAAUUUUAGAAAAAACUUUGUAAUGAUUAGAUUAUG